rnacentral:misc_RNA from 1 species
UAGUGGAGGGGUGGGGGGUGGUGCACAUGGUGUGCUGCUUCACAUUCCCUCAAGUUGAUGGGUCACGGGGAAACUCGUGAUUCAUUAGGCCAGUGUUUUUGUAUAGUUUGCUUGGUGGGAAGUCAGCUGUUUGUCGUGUAUUACACGUGAGCAGCAUGUGCCUGCCAGUAUUUACACCAUAUAACAAAACUGAUAACAGUUAUAAUUCUUUA